rnacentral:rRNA from 1 species
ACGGAGGGUGCGAGCGUUGUCCGGAAUCACUGGGCGUAAAGGGCGCGUAGGCGGCAUGCCAAGCGUGUGGUGAAAGCCCGGGGCUCAACCCCGGGUCGGCCGUGCGGACUGGCGUGCUCGAGCACUGUAGGGGCGGGUGGAAUUCCGGGUGUAGCGGUGGAAUGCGUAGAUAUCUGGAGGAACACCGGUGGCGAAGGCGGCAUCCUGGACCGGCAUUGACGCUGAGGCGCGAAAGCUAGGGGAGCAAACGGGA